AACGAACGCUGGCGGCAUGCCUAACACAUGCAAGUCGAACGAGAUCUUCGGGUCUAGUGGCGCACGGGUGCGUAACGCGUGGGAAUCUGCCCUUUGGUUCGGAAUAACAGUUGGAAACGACUGCUAAUACCGGAUGAUGACGAAAGUCCAAAGAUUUAUCGCCAGAGGAUGAGCCCGCGUAGGAUUAGCUAGGUGGUGUGGUAAAGGAGCACCAAGGCGACGAUCCUUAGCCGGUCUGAGAGGAUGAUCAGCCACACUGGGACUGAGACACGGCCCAGACUCCUACGGGAGGCAGCGGUGGGGAAUAUUGGACAAUGGGCGAAAGCCUGAUCCAGCAAUGCCGCGUGAGUGAUGAAGGCCUUAGGGUUGUAAAGCUCUUUUACCCGGGAUGAUAAUGACAGUACCGGGAGAAUAAGCUCCGGCUAACUCCGUGCCAGCCGCCGCCGUAA
rnacentral:rRNA from 1 species